rnacentral:rRNA from 1 species
UACGUAGGGGGCAAGCGUUGUCCGGAAUCAUUGGGCGUAAAGAGCGUGUAGGCGGCUCGAUAAGUCCGCUGUGAAAGUCCAGGGCUCAACCCUGGAAGGCCGGUGGAAACUGUCGGGCUAGAGUCCGGAAGAGGCGAGUGGAAUUCCCGGUGUAGCGGUGAAAUGCGCAGAUAUCGGGAGGAACACCAAUGGCGAAGGCAGCUCGCUGGGACGGUACUGACGCUGAUGCGCGAAAGCCAGGGGAGCGAACGGG